UACGUAGGGUGCAAGCGUUGUCCGGAAUUAUUGGGCGUAAAGAGCUCGUAGGCGGCUUGUCGCGUCUGCUGUGAAAACCCGAGGCUCAACCUCGGGCCUGCAGUGGGUACGGGCAAGCUAGAGUGCGGUAGGGGAGAUUGGAAUUCCUGGUGUAGCGGUGAAAUGCGCAGAUAUCAGGAGGAACACCGGUGGCGAAGGCGGUUCUCUGGGCCUGUACUGACGCUGAGGAGCGAAAGCGUGGGGAGCGAACAGG
rnacentral:rRNA from 1 species